rnacentral:tRNA from 1 species
AAAAUAGCUCAGCUGGUAGAGCAAUCCUCUCGUAAGGGAUAGGUCGCAGGUUCGAAUCCUGUUUUUAGC